UCGAGCGGAGCGCGGGGGCACCCUGGCGGCGAGCGGCGAACGGGUGAGUAAUGUAUCGGAACGUACCCAGUCGUGGGGGAUAACUAUCCGAAAGGAUAGCUAAUACCGCAUACGUCCUGAGGGAGAAAGCGGGGGACCGUAAGGCCUCGCGCGAUUGGAGCGGCCGAUAUCGGAUUAGCUAGUUGGUGAGGUAAAGGCUCACCAAGGCGACGAUCCGUAGCUGGUCUGAGAGGACGACCAGCCACACUGGAACUGAGACACGGUCCAGACUCCUACGGGAGGCAGCAGUGGGGAAUUUUGGACAAUGGGGGCAACCCUGAUCCAGCCAUUCCGCGUGAGUGAAGAAGGCCUUCGGGUUGUAAAGCUCUUUCAGCAGGAACGAAACGGUGGUCCUUAAUACGGGCUACUAAUGACGGUACCUGAAGAAGAAGCACCGGCUAACUACGUGCCAGCAGCCGCGGUAAUACGUAGGGUGCGAGCGUUAAUCGGAAUUACUGGGCGUAAAGCGUGCGCAGGCGGUUCUAUAAGACAGAUGUGAAAUCCCCGGGCUUAACCUGGGAACUGCGUUUGUGACUGUAGGACUCGAGUGUGGCAGAGGGGGGUGGAAUUCCACGUGUAGCAGUGAAAUGCGUAGAGAUGUGGAGGAACACCGAUGGCGAAGGCAGCCCCCUGGGUCAACACUGACGCUCAUGCACGAAAGCGUGGGGAGCAAACAGGAUUAGAUACCCUGGUAGUCCACGCCCUAAACGAUGCGAACU
rnacentral:rRNA from 1 species